rnacentral:ncRNA from 1 species
GCGCGCAACGGAGAUGGCAUUCCUCCUUGAACCGCCGGUACGCCGGCUGAUGAUGCCUACAGGUUU